AUAGGGGCAGAUGCUUGAAUUUUAGAGUUAUAGCAAAUAAAAAUUAAUUUCAGCCUGACCAAAAUACAAAUAAAAAUGGUGGGAAAAUGCUGCAAUUCUUGUUACCUCACAUUGUCAUUUUUGAUCGGGAAUAUUUACAGCCAAUCUUCAUGUUUACAAUAAUUGCAACUACUAGUGAAUAUACCCUGAACUAACUCUUGAGCCUCAGCGUGCAGGUGGGGCAGGUUUCGUGGAGCUCCCAUCACCAGCAGACCAUUCCUGAGAGGGUGUGCAGGUUGCAGGAUGCCAGCAUCGUCAGGCAGGAGCCACUGCAGCCUUGCCCUGUCUUGGCUGGGUUUUCAGGUGCCUGGGUGUGCCAGCCUCCCAGAAUCCUGUGAAAGCAGGGAAGUUCCUUGAAAUAGAUUAUUUAAAAACACAGAUGAUGAAAACCAAGCUUAUUGAGAACAGGCUGAUCAGGUUGCUUGGAGCUGACAAACAGUGCAGACAUGUCGCUGCCUCUUUUCCAAGACUGAAAUCUACUGGGGGCAGGUACAGGAUUGCUGGAAAGAGCAGGGACGUGAAAGCAAGAAAAGGACUUGUGAGCUUUAUUAUUUCUAUCAAUGGCUAAAAUGUCUCCUUUGCAGUUCUCUCUCUGGCCUUGUGAUCCUGCUUUUUGGUCCCUGUGGCAUUGCAGGCAUUGGGGGUGGUUGUCUGCUACAUGUGGCUCCAUCCCAUGGCCCUACCUCUGGAGCAGAAUGAGGCCACAGGCUCUGAGGGACGAGACCCACAGGUGAGACUCAGUGCAGUGGGGAAGAGACCUGGCCAUACGGAUUUAUACAGGGAAGCAGCUGGUGUAAAGUGCAAAUAGACCAUUUGUACAGGCUCAUAAUCCUUCCUCUGAACAAUUGCUCCUUAAAACACUGAUAGUUUGUUGUUUUUAUUGCCUAAAAUCCUGAGCAGCAACCUGUCAGCAGCUUUGGUUAGGGGAAAGUGGAGCAUUGCGUGGUGUUCUGCUAAUGCAUGCAAGAUGAUGAGGUGGUGUGAUAAUGGUGGCUGGCCAGAGACCCGCAGCGAGAGAGACAGCUGAGUGGCUGAUAUCCCUUCUGUGGCGGCACCCUAAUUGCCAAGGACGCGUUCAUGUUCGCCCACAUUAUUUGGUAAUUAUGCUUAGUAGACUAUAGGGGACAGUUAGGAAAACUUAAACAUGUGGCAGCUUCCACUACAUCAUCGCCAUAAGCACCAGCAAGGCUUGGAUUGCAACCUUAAUAAAGGGUUAGUGCAAGGCAAUGGGAAGCAGCUUCCCCCAGCAAAGCGCAGAGGAGCAGCUUUGGAGGGCAGGUGUCACACAGGGAGUCCGAGUCAUCUUUUGGUUGUAGGGAAAGAAAGGGAUGCCUGUAAAUGCUUUUAACAAGUAAUGUUGCUUUUUUCUAAUCUAAGCCUGAGCUUUACUGCACAUAUAUUGAAUACAAAGGUAAACCUAAGUGGUGGAACAAUGCUUUGUACUGUACAGUGUGCCUUGGUAUUUUAUUAAUUCAUAAUUAGCCCUUUUCUAGAAAAAUAUCAUUGUUUCUGAAAUGACUUGGAGCUUGGGAACUAAGUGGAGCCUUGACAAUGGUCCUGACAACGUCACUGCUACCAGCCACCCCGAGUUUGCCGGAGACCAGCCGACGUCCAGAGCACAUCGUCUCCCUCGUGUCAGCUUGGCUUCUGCCUUUGUUCGUGUGCUGGGAGCCGGCUGUGCCUGAUGGGAAGCCAUCACCCCUCCAAGUGGGGAAACGGGGGCAACGGAGAACAAACCCAGCGAGCGGUGUGUUUUUCCAGAAGAACUGUCUAUUGAAUCUUUCCGAACGAUUUUGGCAGACACGAAGGAGAGAAGUUCUGCGUGCAAAAUGUGUAUUUGUACAUGAGCUUUGCGAAGCUUGUAUUUGAGCAAGGAAGGAGACUGUAGGAGCACUGAUGCGGGCAGUUGCUUGCUUUGCCAUCACAGAUUGUGAUAUACUUGUCCAGCCCAGGCAGAAUGGCACUGCAGCGGAGCAGCGUGCAGCUCAGCCACGGGCACUGCCAGUGUGGAAAUUCAGUGGUUGAAGCUCCAGACUGGGUUGGCACCUGUAAAAUAAAACUGGCUGUAACAGACCACUGAUUACCGCUGAUGUGCAAACUUUCUAAUGCUUGGUGAGACAAAUAGCAACUCAGAGUUUAGGUUUACACAAGUCAGGCGGCACCUUUAACUGUGCGUAGGGCUUUGCUGUGGCAGGUGAAAAUGUCCCCUCGAGUGGCUUUUAUGCUGGCUGCCUCCAAAACUGCUGCAGGUUGUGCGUGGAAGGCAAGGGGGCAGAGCAAAAAGAGACCAUCAGUGAUGGGUUUGAGAGCAGAGCUUUUCAAAGCAGGGAUUCUGGUCAAGUGGACUGGUAAGACAGAGCUCCAGUGACACCCAGGAUGGCCAAAAAAAGGAGUGGUGCUCAAACCCAGGUGAUGUUCAUCCAUGCCUGAAAGGCUGUUGGAGGUUUUUUGUGCUUCUGUUUGCCUGAAGUUGUUGACCUGCAGUUGACAGAAAUGCUGGGUAUUGACAUUUCAUCUGUAAAUCUAAUUUAAAAUAUAGCUUUAUAUUUUUGGGGUGUAUCCCCUGGGACUAUAGCCAAGCAUGUGGCAUUACUGUGCACUGGCAGAUGAGCAAUUAGCAGAUCUCUGCAGGAGCCUUUUGCUGUGCAGAGCUCUCGGAGGUGUCAUUAGCAUGCAAUUAUGGGACUGCCUUGAAGUGUCGUCUUGUCUUUGAAGUAGCUUUGAACGGAGUGGAGCCUGGACAACGGCUGCUGCUAAUAUCACAGCCAGCAGCAGCUUGGGGGCAAAGCGUGUUGCCUCCGUGGUGGCAAAUUGGCAGUGGUGUGUGUUCACCUCCCCGUGGGCAAUGUGAAGAUGUGCUGCGCAGCGUCGGUGGUGGGAGAGGAGGGAGGAUGCCCUGGGCUCAGGGAAGAAGGUCCCAUCCUGCUCUCGGUGUCGGCAGGGUUGGCCUUUCCUCUCUCACCCCUUUAGUGACUAAUGUGGCCCGAGAGGUUAGCGUGACCUGUGCUCGGGACCAUCGCCAGCCUGGUCGCUGCUCAGGUGCCUGGAGCAGAAUGGUCUCUACUUGAGGGGGUUCCCUGUGGCUCUGGGUACCCGCUGGAGCUGGCAGGGAGGAGGAAGGGCUGCAGGACAUGUUCUUGGUACGCUGGCUGCAACUGGAGGACUGCACCUUCGCUUCAUGCUAUUGACUGAGUACGUUUAUUUGCUCAUUUUACUUGGGAGGGGGAAGGACUUUGGUUUGGUGGUGCAGCCAGAAAGAUCUGCAGAUGAGCUCAGCAAGGGUAUGUUUGCCUAGAGGGACGGGUGCCUGAGAAGUCAGCGAUGAGGCUGCCUCUGUGUUGUAGCGUGGAGAAGGUGCACUACUUCAUUGGCUUUGUAUUCUACUUUUCCUAAGAUUUUAGGGCAUUUUCCUGAUCUUUUGUAUUCCUAAGCUUUUGUGCUGUGGGGCUGUUUGGUAUCCAGAUCUCAUCACUCAGCUUCUCAGAACUAAGCACAUUUUUCUCAUCAUUAGAGGUAAGAGUAAAGCAACAGAGCAAGGUCCUUAUUACUUUUUAAUGUUAGGUAUUUAUUAUGAAUGUUUUUUGUACAAAAUGAUCUUUGCUUCAUGAUUCGGGGAAUUGAGAGUCAUAACAGCACACGAUGAAACACUUGCACAGAUGAGCUUUGAGGAUUGGGUUUUCCGAGGCACACCCAGGGCAGUUUGUCGGAUGGCUGCUGCCUGAACAGCUAUUGCCAGGGCUGGAUUUUGUAGUAGUUGUCUGGGGGAAGGACCUCUGGCUUCCACCCUGUGUAAGGGAGCGUUCCCUGCUCAGACCAGAGUGUGUUAAGUAAAAAUAGAGAUUCACACUACUUAAAAGUAUGCUUCAAAUAGUUUGCAAGGCAAUUCUGAGUUGCUUCUCGGACCCUGAAAUCACUGAUGUUGGGUGAACUAUUCUAGAGAAAAAAGUAAAAAGAGAAGUUACAGCAUCUUAAAUAUUUGUAGGGUUUUCUACUCGCUUAUCUGAACUGUUGGGUAUGCCUGUCUGUCUGUCCGAAUUAUUAGUAAGAAAGGCAGCAAAGGGAGAAUUCUCUUUGUUGUACUGAUGGGAGUGUUACUGGCAGGUUAUUAAGACUGAAGAUGAUGGUUUGAAUCUGUCUUCUGUGUGGUCUGCUGAUGUCACUGCAAGGUUCAAAUGCAGAAAGCACCAUUGUCUCUCAAGAAGUGUAAGAGAAAGGUGAGUAAAACCUCUCCAGUUUUAUCCCAGCUGCUCUGCACAUUGUAUAAGCAUUUCUCCAUGUCUGUUUCCUCACUGCUCUGUUUGUUUAUAUGUCCUGUUAAAGUCCCCAGUUAUUUGAAAUGUCAUCUCUUUUAGGAAACUAAGCUAGUCCUGUUUUGUAGACCCCUUCCUCCUGAGGCUGACUGAGUUUUGAAGGACUCCUUUUUUCCAUCUAUCCUGCAGCAUCAGCUAUUUUUGAGCUGCAAUCCACUUGAAUUAAAACCACAAAUGUCUCCCCUGCCCCUAAUAAACCAAGCAAGCUCUUUGCUUCCUUGGGUGCGACUGCAUGCAUCUGGAUAUCUGACUUCUGUUGUGUGCAGCUUCAGCUGACUGAAAACGCAGAGCCUCCACUGCGCUUCCUUUGAGCGUUACCCCCCGUAAGAGAAGUGAGAAAAUGACAGCUUAAAUGCUCUUCCAUAGUUACAGGUCGGCAUCCCGAGCAUUAGUCCUGAUGGCAGUGCUUUUCUUUACAGCUUGUGAAGAUGCAACGAAUAUCCUUUUUGAGUCUGAAAUGAACAAAUUCACAUUCCCAGAAUUAAAGGUGGAUUCAGUAGCUAUCAAUGGAUGAGUGGCAAACAGAAUAAAGGAUUCUGCACGAUUCUUUGUCCUCUGACAAUGUCUCGAGGCCCAGCUGUAGACAAAGGUGUCUCUGCAGUGAGUGUUGUAUGCAUCAGGGCAAAACUGGUGGCUGCAGGAGGAACUUACGUGAUAAGUAAAGGUGUGUUGAGUACAUCCAUUACAGCCUGCCUGCAGGAUCGACAAGCUAAUUGAGGGAGAGGCUUUUGCAAACAACUUGAAGCCAAGACCCCAUUUACAAGGGAUUAUCUGGAGAGAAAUGACAAGGCAAAAUAAAACCAAAAAAACAUUUUAUUGAAUAAAUGUGUCUGCUGUUUGGCAAGAAAAGAUGCAGCCUUGGACACUUGCCUUGCAAAAGCCAGUCUCAUUUCUCUCCAUCUUCUCUCUGCAGUUUGUUUCCUGACAGGGCUGUUUAGGGACAGUUCCUUCUGCUAUUCUGCAUCUUUAACUGUGUGGGUGUUGGUUUUUUUUUUUUUUGUAUUGUUGAUGUUUUAAAAGCAAAUAAAGGGCCCUUCAGGAGCUGCUUUGCUGGAUGCUCUGAGACUAAAUACCUUUGCUUAUGUUUUCUUGCCUCAUUUCACAGUCUGUACAUCAUGAAUGUUACACUUCUUCCAAUCAAGGCCAGGUGUAUCCUUGGAGUUGGGGUCAAGGAGGUUUUUUUUUCUGCUCUUCUCAGUAUCUUUGGUACUUGGUGAGUUUUGGCUGUGAAGGCUCUUGUGGCAUUUGCAUUUCUUUCAGCAGCAUAAGAAAUGUGUAAUGAAGGCUUCUGCAAGGGCAAGAGGAGGAAGAAGAAAUGAAAUUUUUCAUCAAGAAAAUUUGCAGAAAUGAAACACUAUACCUAGGUCCCUUCUUGUUAAAAUACAUGCAGAGUCCCAAAAGAUGGUAGAUGAUGAAGAGCCAAGAAAGUUUCCCAAGGAUACUGGAUACUGUUAUCACCAUACAGAGAGCAGCUGCCAGGAGCUGUGAUGGUGCAUGGGAGAUACCCAGUGUGGCUUUGCCUCGGCAGUGGAAAUGCCCUCGUCCCUGACGUGGUCCCUGCCAGGUUGAACCGCAGCAUGCUGGUCCUGCUGGCAGACCACUCACCAGAUAGCGCGGUGAGCAAGUCUGAUAGAUGUCAAAAUAAGCCUGAGGUGAGUGCUGCUGAUUUUUCACACGCAGAAAAGUCUGUGUGGGCCAGAGCCCUGUGCUAAGGCCUGUCAAUAGCUCUUAUUUUCUAUUACCACCUUUGUUUUGGAUUUAUUUCCAGCAGAAUAGCUAUUUGUUCAAGUUCCUGGAGAAAGGUUUCCUCCACGUCUCUGCGUAUCACAUUGUCACCCACCGAGAAUAUUUUGAUCUGAAAUUCUUCUUGGCAGGUUCGCUUCUCCCUCUGUGCCCAGGCAGUGACUUGCACAGAUGCCAGCUCACCACAAUACUGUCCUACUCUUUGCUUCUCCACAGCCUUUCAUUAGGUGUGAAUGAUUUUAUAUUUUAGACUAACUUACAGGCGUGUAUUUUGUUAAGAGGCUUCGACCCUACCCCUGGACAGGGGGAAAAUGCUCUUUUUUAGGUAAAUACAGAAUUCCCACCACAUUGUAUGAACUGCAUGGCCCUGUAGAUGUGAAGGCUGGGAUGCCGCUGUUGUAGCCUGCGGUGCUGCUGUGUGGGGACGUUGGGAGGAAUGCACGCUGUCGGUGCAAAGCCCAGGCUGACUGGUGGGGCUUGUCAGCUGUGGUCUCCCUGCGUCCAGACCUUGGUGUGGCAUGCUCUCAGCAAUGAGCCUUUUGAACCAGCCUCUUAGUUGUGGGUUUGACUGGCCUGGAGAGAGCUGUGAAAAGAAGCCUGCUGUGGUUGGUUUGCUCCCUGUUCACAGGAGAGGAGUAGAGUUCAUCUGCUUGCUAAGACUGCCCUCUCUUGAGGCAGCAGCCCGGAGGCAGCACUUAAAAACAUUAAACUGGGUUCAAAUCAUCUGAUGAUCAGCUCUCUUCUUUCUCCCAAUUGCUUUUGUCUGAUAAUGGUUUGGGUUUUUUUCAUAAUAGUUUCAUUUUGUCUGCAGCAAUAUUGAUGCAAGCAUGGAAGCCACAUUAAGAAACAACAUCCUGUUUGGGUUAAAAAACAAGGUACAUAUCAUUUCUGAUUAUGUUCCCUAGAGCCAUGAGGAAGAGAAGAGGAAUUACUCUCACUCAGCUCCUCCGGGUGUAGACAUGGAGCACGUGCUUUGUGAGACCCCCUUCUAAACCCGCGCUGCUGAAACGGGGCAGAACCUUGGUUUAUCUUCCUGGCCAUGAGCAUGUUGCCUCUCCAGGGCUGCAGCAGAUCGGUGCCUGCCGGGAGCAGAGUGAACCGUAGUUUUGUUACACCUUAAGCCCUUCUGAGCAGCGUGCAUUAUCCUUCUGUGCCCCAUCUCUAGAGGAGGAGGAGAUCUUUGCUCAGUCCUGCAGUGCUAAUGAAUAACAACAUCUCCGAAACAAUGUGUGACAGCACGGGGGAGAUUCUGCCACUGCUAAAAGGAAAAGCAAUCCAGGCCUAGUUUUUUUUCCCCUGACUUAAGCUUAAAUCUCUGGGCCUGGAAUGGAAUAACAUUCUCACGUUUCAGAUGCCUAAAAUACUUUCAAGCUGCUUUUCCAUUGGGCAUAGGAGGUUGCUGCACCACAAAAAUUCUCUAAUUGCGUUUGAGAGAGGGAAAAUCAUAUGUGCUCAAGCCACGCAAAGUGCAUAAUUACUCCAUUGAAAUACCUCUAGAAAUCAACCUUCUUCAAGACCCUUUGGGAGCUUUUGUUCUGGGAAUCAACUGUAAGUCCAUAGGGAUGUUUUCUUCCCUGAUUUCUCAUUAGUCAAAAUCCAAAUUAUGCAAGCUGAGAGGGGUUUUGGUGGGGGUUUUUUUGUUUGUUUGUUUUUUCCCUUUUUGGAGCAGUUCAAGUGUCUGCUCUCUGCUGCAGCAAUUGCACAUUCUACCUGUGUUUACUUCUUAAAAGGCAAGCUGGGUAUUAGGAAUCUUCCAAGUACACAACCAUUGGUUUGGUUCUUCGACUGUGCUGUUUAUGUGCUAAAGCAAUGGAUAUAUAUUGUAUGAAGAUGUGGUUGUCUGGGGGACUGAACAGUAAAAUUCAAAAGCCCUGGUGCAUGUUUCUGCAUACACCUGACUUAGGUUUGUUUAUCUCCAGAUGCAUGCACCAAAUCCAUCUGUUCCUUCAUGUUGUAAUAAGAUGAUUUUACUAACAACUGAGUAAAGGCAGCAUGUUGUCACUGGAGCAAUAUUCCUGUACUGUAAAUGCACACGAGCUUUUUGCAGAUACGAAAGAAAUUUGUUAAAUAUCUGCACUGAACCUUUCUGGUACUUCCCUUUGUUCCCCAUCCUGGUUCUAGUCAAACCUUAAUAGGGAGACUGGGCAGGCCAAGGGCGUUGGGAUCUCUGUUUAUUCAGCAUAUGUCAGUCGGAAAAAUCCCCGAAGUCCAGAUCCCAGGACUGCACACAAAGAUGUUUACUUCUCCCCUGCACAGAAGCUGCACAGAACCAAAUACCUCUGAGGAGGCAUCUCCUGUCCCUAAAUGGUAGCUGGCCCAUUCUGCUUGCUGCCCGACGGAUUUAUGAACAGGCGGUCAUUGUCCUCGGAAACAUGUCCUGUGCAUUGCAGCCAGGAUGUGGCUUAAACGACACCUCUCCCCUCUGUCGCAUGCGCCGGUCCCUUUUGUCUGCCUCUCUGCUCCGUGCAUUUGCUCCGCCUAUGAAUUCUACCACUUGUCCAAGGACGUAGGAUUAAACAGAAUCAUGCCCCUGCAAUACUGGAAACAGUGCUCUGGAAAUACUAAUUUCCUAAGGGCUUUAAAUCAAACGUUGGGUAGAUGGAGCUGCUGUGAUUUAAGUGCUUUCUGCCUUCUGGAGCGGCAGCGCAGGUAUGUCUGCAGAAGGCAGGUCCAGCUGGAUGUGUUCCUGUGCAGCCGUGUGCCCAGGCUAGCACAGGACCAGCUAGACUCAGAAGUGUUUAUUUGCAUUUAUGUGGGUCUUGAAAGGCUUCUUAAAUUGUAUGAAGUUAAUACAAUGGAAAAUGGAUUUUUCCUGCCCACCUAAGCAAGCUUUUAGUGCUUAAUGCUGUAAAGUAAACACAACAGCAACAAAUUCAGUUUUAUAAUGUGCUGUGGAUUCCAGGUCUAUGAAAAAUGAGUGCUUUGUAAAAGAAAUUUUUCCUCCUCCUAGUACUCUUCCAAAAAAUAUCUUAUCUCUGUAAAAUCCUCUUGUCUCCAUAGCUGCAUUUUGAUGCUAAUGGGAUUCAUAGCUUCAUAAUUCUUUGUCUCUCUUCUUGCAUUGGUACAAGGCUAAACUCUAUUGCAGAGUAGAUAUGUUCUACUAGAGAAAAACUUAGCAGAAGAGAGGAUUUGCUCUUUGGUUGUGAAAUUAGUUGGGCUUUUUUUCAUCUGUUGUUCUCCUAGAGAUGUAUUGUGUGCUGUAACUACCACAAGAAAAAGGAAGUCUUGAGGUACAGGAUGAGUUGCUUGCUGUUGUGUCUCUGACACUGACCAGUAAAGAGAAAUACUGUCAUGAGUUGAAGAUAUUUUAAUUAACAUAAUUCUUUAUUUGAAAACUUUGAUUACUUUAUUUUAAUGGUGGGAAAAACUCCUGUGUCUGCUUUUGAGUUACAGCUAAGGAAGUACAGAGGAUCUAAACAAUCUCCUUGUUAAAAAUAUAUUUUGCUAGAAGUGCUGCUUUCCAAACCGGUGUCAUACUUGGUUAUGUGCUUCAAGGGAAAGUUUUGGGACAUUGACUAUUGCUCCUGCUUUCUUUUGGUUGCUUUACAUAAAUGGCUGUACUUUGCCAGCACCUUCCUUGUGAUCUUUUCCCCCAAACCAGCAAUUUGUUAUUCUCCAGGGAGGGAGCAAGCGGCUGCACUUCGCACGCAGCCCAUAAGAAACAGGGUGCGCGGAGAGUAGUGAGAGCAGCAGAUGCACUGCAGGGUAGCAGAAGGGUUUCCUCCCACCUCUUCACGCAGCAGAGCUGCGCAGAUACCCCCGUGACUUGACUGCGUUCAACCUUUCCUUGGCGUGAGAUCAAGCCCAACAAAUGUGUGUCAAAACGUGAUGGUAGGCUGCUGGAGUUCUGCCCGGGC